UAGGGUAGUAGUUCAAUGGUAGAACGACGCACUGUUAAUGCGUAUGUUGCAGGUUCGAGUCCUGCCUUCCCUGCCAU
rnacentral:tRNA from 2 species